CAAAGCUUGAAGCUGUGUUGUGCUGCUGAGUCAGACGGUGAGGGGAGUAGAAUAGCUGUGUGCCCUCUGCACCUGCCAACAUGUAUAACAUUGUGUCCUCUCUAAGUGGCCGUUGUGCAGUUUUAACAGGACAGUUCUGCUCCCGGCCCGGUUCGGUCAGAUUACAUUUGGCAAGUGGUGCAUUAUGUGAGAAAUCAGCCUUCAAAAACCCUCCCACAGACAUCCCAGAUAUGCCCCAAUGCAAUUUCGAACCAGAGGAAUACACGGGUAUGUCCAAAGAGCGGAUGAUGGAGAUCCGCAGACAGAACUGCAACCCCAUGAUCAUGAAGGUUACCUACUAUAAGAAACCAGUGUUCGUCCACCAGGGAUACAUGCAGUGGCUGUGGGAUGUGGACGGGAAUCGAUAUCUGGAUCUGUUUGCUGGUGUGGCCACUGUCAGUGUGGGCCACUGCCACCCAAAAGUAACAGCAGCCGCCGAGCAGCAGCUGAAGAGACUGUGGCAUACUACAAACAUCUACGCCUAUCCUCCUCUUCAUGAGUAUAGUGAGAAACUAGCCUCCUACUUACCGGAUCCUCUCAAGGUUGUAUAUCUGACCAACAGCGGCUCAGAAGCCAAUGACCUGGCCAUGUUGAUGGCUCGACUUUACACAGGCAACUUCGACAUCAUCACUUUGAGAGGAUCAUACCACGGUGGCAGCCCACAGACGAUGGGUCUUACUUCCAACGCAGCAUAUAAAUACCCCAUUGCUAAUGGUUUAGGCUGCACAAAUACAAUGUGUCCAGAUGUGUUCAGAGGUCCGUGGGGGGGAAGGCAUUGCAGGGACUCUCCUGUGCAGACCAUCAGAGAAUGCAGCUGUGCACAAGGUCAUUGCAUGGCAAAUGACCAAUACAUUGGACAGCUCAAAGAGACAUUUGCUACUAGUGUCCCAAGUCAAAUUGCUGCUUUCUUUGGAGAGCCUAUUCAGGGAGUUGGAGGAGCUGUGCAAUACCCUAAAAACUACCUCAAGGAGGCUUACAAACUUGUGAGAGAGAGAGGAGGGGUCUGCAUUGCUGAUGAGGUCCAGACUGGAUUUGGGCGAACAGGAAGCCACUUCUGGGGUUUCCAAGGUCAUGAUGUCAUUCCUGAUAUUGUAACAAUGGCAAAGGGCAUCGGUAAUGGAUUCCCAAUGGGAGCUAUCGUUACAACACCAGAAAUUGCGGCCUCAUUUGCCAAGGGUGUUCACUUCAACACCUUUGGAGGAAAUCCUGUAGCUUGUGCUGUUGCGUCAUCAGUGCUUGAUACCAUCAAAGAAGAUGGCACACAGCAGAUCAGUCUUGAUGUGGGAACCUAUCUGAUGACAGAACUGGCAAAACUCAGAGAGAAGUAUGAGAUAAUCGGUGAUGUCCGUGGGAAAGGCCUGCAGAUCGGUGUGGAAAUGGUCAAAGACAAGGUCAGGAUAGCGGAACCAACAAGACUACAAGAGUGACACGGGGAAGUGCAAAUUCUAUGAAGAUUUUGCGGCAUGGCUGAAACUGGUACCAGGCAAUACGCGGGGCACGGUGUAUUUUGUGCCGGAAGUGUUUUAAACUCCGAGCGGUGAGAAUCAAGGCAGUGGAAUCCCACAUGCAGAAUGAGAAACACAAAACUGCCAAGCAGAGAAGGACGUUAGCACCUGCCACCUGCCAAAUAAAGGGUAAAUGUUGGCUGUGGCAGGUAAGAAAUCCAGGUCAACAUGGCAGAUAGGGUUUCCUUAUAUAAAGAAAUGUUAUUAAAAAAAAAGAAAUUGUUAUAGUCAGGGUUUAGGGUUACAUAAUAUAUUCCAUAUUUCUACUGUCUCAUAAUACUGACUUAGUGUUUAUAAUUCUGAAGCGUUCUCCAUAUAUUUCAAAAUUGGCAAAUUGAAAAAACUUCAUUUUUCUACCAGGUAUUUCCCAGUUCUGUUAUACCCUCGUCUCCACCACACAACCUUUUUCACUGGAGCAAAAAAGUAAAACAUUGUUGUUAUGUUUCUUCAAUUUUGGAUUUUGUACAGUUCAUUACAGUACAGGACUUCAUUUGAUUCUGAGUGACAUUAAAAAAGUCUUGAAUCUAACUUGCCGUGCUGUAGAAACCAUUGGACACAAGCAGUUGCACAGUGUUAAUAUAGUUAGUUUCUUUCAUUUAUUUACUAUGAUUACUGAAACCCAUCCAGCCUCAUCAUCCUUUCACCUCUUCUCUGUCGUCCACAGGCCAGCAGAGACCCGCUGCCUCCUCAGGCAAUGAGUGAGAUCUUUGAGGACGUCAAGGACAUGGGAGUCCUGAUAGGAAAAGGAGGACUUUACGGACAGACUUUCCGCAUCCAACCCCCGAUGUGCAUCACAAUGGAAGAUGCU